rnacentral:rRNA from 1 species
UAGGGAAUAUUGGGCAAUGGAGGCAACUCUGACCCAGCCAUGCCGCGUGAAGGAUGAAGGUCCUACGGAUUGUAAACUUCUUUUAUUAGGGAAGAAACCCUCGAAUUUAUUCGGGGCUGACGGUACCUAACGAAUAAGCACCGGCUAACUCCGUGCCAGCAGCCGCGGUAAUACGGAGGGUGCAAGCGUUAUCCGGAUUCACUGGGUUUAAAGGGUGCGUAGGUGGAUCAAUAAGUCAGUGGUGAAAGCCCCGAGCUCAACUUGGGAAUUGCCAUUGAUACUGUUGAUCUUGAGUGCGGUUGAGGUAGGCGGAAUAUGUCAUGUAGCGGUGAAAUGCUUAGAUAUGACAUAGAACACCAAUUGCGAAGGCAGCUUACCAAACCGAUACUGACACUGAGGCACGAAAGCGUGGGGAUCAAACAGGAUUAGAUACCCCCGUAGUCC